ACACUGCUGAGGAGUCCCAUAAUAGGACGAAACAGCCGUGCAGUGU
rnacentral:hammerhead_ribozyme from 1 species